rnacentral:sRNA from 1 species
AUCACAGCUGGAAGUCUAUCAGCAUAACAUACUGAGACAACAUACAUACUAUUAUGGACAAUGUCUUUUAGUUUUUGUGCUUCCCUAAGAUUUUAUUUAGUUGAAUGAAAGCUCUUCUUGCUUCUCGUCUUCAGGUUUUUGAGGAAUGAAUUAAUGAAAGAAACUACAAACUCUUGUUUUCGCGAUUCUACAGCAUUGCUGUCUUUUCUUAAUCACUAUCUAGCAAUCUUGUUGAACCGCUAUUUGCUUCCAAAUUAUUUCAUUUCAAGAACUAUGCCUUGAAAACUUCUUCUCUUGCUAUUCCCUAUACCGUGUUACUUAUUCCAUUUCAGAGGA